GCCUGGUUAGCUCAGUGGUUGAGCAUCUGCCUUUGGCUCAGGUCAUAAUCCCAGGGUCCUGGGAUUGAGUCCCACAUUGGGCU
rnacentral:tRNA from 1 species